AGACGAAAAUGAUGAAAAAAUAAGACAAAACUGUGUGAUCAUCAAACCCUAUGUGUUUGAUAUGAUCAAACACCUUAUCGCUACGUUCUUUCUGAUUCGUCU